UAAAUAUGUAUAUAUACCGUGCAAUACAACGAAAGUGUUGCUUUUACAAUAUGCAUUAUAUUUAACUACAUAGAUUUGAGGAAUUUCAGCAAAGCUGUUUGAUUUUAAAAAAAUUUUAAAAAAGCUUAAUAUAAAAAGUGUUAUAAAAAUUAAUUACUAGAUAAGAGUAUAAACUUUUAACUUUUGUAGAUAACCUGUUGUUACCCACAGUAAAUAUAAACGUAAUCAAAGCAUAAGAAUUUUAUUGUAAAUGAGUGAUUCUGCAUAAAUUGCAUUAUUGUACAAAACGUUUAUAAGAGCACCUUGAAGAAAGGAAGAAACCUUGUCUUCAUAUAAAACUUAUUUUGAUUUUAAAAGUUAACUAAAAAGUGAAAAGCAAUAAUUAAUUGAAAAUGUUUAAAUUUUUGGUACAUCUAAAUGUCUAUUUUGCAAAUAGUGGUAUUAUUGAAUAGAAAUAUGUACACUAAUAUCUUUUUUAGAUAACCUUAAGCAUUGGGAUUUAUGCUGGUAUAUAUAUAAGUCAAAACUAUGAGAUACCUCGUGUAGAUGAGCCUACUAAGAUAAUAGAACGAAUAAAGGAAAUUGCAGAUGAAUAUAAAAAAAAAUAAUUAAUAAUGAUUUAUCUAAUAAUACUAUUACAUUUGUGGAAUACGUUUUAAUCCAGUUUAUUGUACAUAUACGUUUAUAUAUAUAUAUAAACAUGUAACACAAUUUGAUUUGGUUUGAUUUUAAUAAAACAUUUUAUGUAA
rnacentral:lncRNA from 1 species